CAGACGCUCCCAGAACCCAUCAGCACUUUUACUGCUCCUCAUCCUCCCGACAGCCCGGGGACAGUCCCGCCAAGCCGGCGAGAAACCAUCGGGCCCCUCCUUAGCAAGCAGCACGCAUCUUGGUUCAGAUGAAGGCCACGCCGCAGGGCAAACUCCAACCGCCGGCAAAGGGAUCAAGCGGCCCUAAGAAGCCUUCCAGAGAAAAAGCCUUCUUGGGAUGAUGCUACGUAGCACUCAACCAAAUCAAGGCAGCUGAACAAACCUGGCCUUGGAGCGAGCGAGCGAUCAGCACUGGAGCAGAAGUUCAGUGGAGCCGUGCCAAAACUGCCCGUUUUCACCUCGCUAGGAUUUUCCCCGACAGUUUGCAAAUCCCGUCGACGGGAGAUGAAAAACACCCGCCAACGUUUCAGGGCCAGAUGGUAGUUUAUGUUUAUGAAAACUGCACUUUGUUUUCAUGGAAACUAGUAAAAGGAUAGCGAGCGAACCUGGAAAAACACAGCUCACCCCUUUGGGGAAGAGUCUAUUUUAUGGACAGCUUUUGUUGCCACCGCUGAGCUGCGGCUGAUGGAGCACGCUCGGGAGAUGGUACACGAGACCACCCUAAAGGUUGGCCCAACACAAGAGAGCGACUGUGGGAUCCAGAGGCCACCGGCUGAAAUUCAGCCUAGAUUAGCGAGAAGCGGAAGAACGGAUACCUCGCAUCACGUGCCAGCUCGCUAGCAGAGGCAGUUCGUUACUGAACCUUCGUUAUGCAGAGAACAAAGUCGUGGGCACGCUCACCGUGCCUCGUGGACGAGCCUGAAGAACAACCAAGGUCCAUCCGGUAAGCGAGAUGACGAGGACAAAAAAUUACACAUCAACUUUGUGACUUACAGCUACGUAACCGGCUUCAGCCUUUGCCUUUUGCACCAAGUAGCAGGUAAAAAUGGAGCAGCAGGUAGAGCUUCUCACGCGCUGGACCUCCCCCGGGGCGCUUCCACCUCUGGCUGAUCCUCCUCGCCAGGUCUCCCCAACGACUGCCUCUACGCCCUGUGGCGUGGCGUUGGUUUUGGCCGGAUUAAUCUUAGCCCGAUCCCGCGAGAGCGAGGCCCACGGCACAGGCAGCAUAAAUCCUGUUGGCUGUGGUGGCCCCAGGCCGGGAGUGACACCGGUUCCUAGAGAAGACUCAUAAAUUUCAACCGAGUUUUCUUCCGCCGGGUUUUUGCUUUGCUUACAGGGGAUCCGUAAUACUUUAUCUGUCAUGACUGCUCCCGUGGACUCGCGUUCUGAUGUCAUAAAUUUGCAAUUAUGGUGACAUCACUGACAGACCAAGCAGAAAGAGAAAGGGCUCCAGGGCUAAGCAAAGGACCUUCUCUCUAAUGAGCGGCAGUGAUUUGGCCGACAGGACGCUUCACACCCAAACGCCCCCAGAAAGCACUUCAGAAGCAGGGAAGGAUUCAUGCUUUUCAGCCCAGAUUUCUCCCUCGUAUUUAUUGCCAAAGUGAGACCUGGUCAAGGUGGUCGGGGUUGGACACAUUGCUUCCAAGAGCAGGUGUCUGUCUCCUAAUUGCAGAGGUUUGCUUUGCUUUCUGGGUUUAUUUUGCUCUGUUUCCAAGAACGUCCAUUCCUCCACAAGACAGCUUCGCAGUUUUAUGAGCAAAGAGAGAUUUUGGAGGAAACGAGGGCUGCGUCUAGGCGAGACCUCGUUUGAUGUUGCUGUGGUACUGCAGCUUAGCCUGUUGGUAAAGCUGUAGUUACCCUUCCUUAAUACACCCGCGCAGAACAAAAGGGAAAGAAAUGCCCAAAGACUACGUUCCAGCACCGGUGGGGGGCAGACGGCGAUGACCCUGUUACUUGAAGUCACCUCUCCCAAGAGCAUCCCUGAGUGCUUGUAGAUCCUCCUCCUCAUACGUACUUGCAAAUGUUGAUUUUUUUUUUUUUUUAAUUUUUUUUUUUUAUUGCAUCCA